rnacentral:rRNA from 1 species
CCUACGGGAGGCAGCAGUGAGGAAUAUUGGUCAAUGGACGCAAGUCUGAACCAGCCAUGCCGCGUGCAGGAAGACGGCUCUAUGAGUUGUAAACUGCUUUUGUACGGGGGUAAACGCAGAUACGCGUAUCUGUCUGAAAGUAUCGUACGAAUAAGGAUCGGCUAACUCCGUGCCAGCAGCCGCGGUAAUACGGAGGAUUCAAGCGUUAUCCGGAUUUAUUGGGUUUAAAGGGUGCGUAGGCGGUCGGAUAAGUUAGAGGUGAAAUCCCGAGGCUCAACUUCGGACUUGCCUCUGAUACUGUUCGUCUAGAGAGUAGUUGCGGUAGGCGGAAUGUAUGGUGUAGCGGUGAAAUGCUUAGAGAUCAUACAGAACACCGAUUGCGAAGGCAGCUUACCAAGCUACUUCUGACGUUGAGGCACGAAAGCGUGGGGAGCAAACAGGAUUAGAUACCCGGGUAGUC